UUAUAUAACCGGCGGCAGGCUUACACAUGCAAGUCGAACGGUAGCAGGAGAAAGCUUGCUUUCUUGCUGACGAGUGGCGGACGGGUGAGUAAUGCUUGGGAAUCUGGCUUAUGGAGGGGGAUAACUACUGGAAGCGGUAGCUAAUACCGCGUAAUAUCUUCGGAUUAAAGGGUGGGAUCUUCGGACCACUUGCCAUAAGAUGAGCCCAAGUGGGAUUAGGUAGUUGGUGGGGUAAAGGCCUACCAAGCCGACGAUCUCUAGCUGGUCUGAGAGGAUGGCCAGCCACACUGGAACUGAGACACGGUCCAGACUCCUACGGGAGGCAGCAGUGGGGAAUAUUGCACAAUGGGGGGAGCCCUGAUGCAGCCAUGCCGCGUGAAUGAAGAAGGCCUUCGGGUUGUAAAGUUCUUUCGGUGAUGAGGAAGGCAGGCUUGUUAAUAGCAAGUUUGAUUGACGUUAGUCACAGAAGAAGCACCGGCUAACUCCGUGCCAGCAGCCGCGGUAAU
rnacentral:rRNA from 1 species